CAGUCGCCGCGGUAAUACGAAGGGUGCAAGCGUUACUCGGAAUUACUGGGCGUAAAGCGUGCGUAGGCGGCUUGGUAAGUUAGAGGUGAAAGCCUGGAGCUCAACUCCAGAAUUGCCUUUAAGACUGCCGAGCUAGCAGGUGAGAGAGGUAAGUGGAAUUCCGAGUGUAGAGGUGAAAUUCGUAGAUAUUCGGAAGAACACCAGUGGCGAAGGCGGCUUACUGGCUCAUACUGGACGCUGAGGUGCGAAAGCGUGGGGAGCAAACAGGAUUAGAUACCCCUGUAGUCCCUGUCUCUUAUAC
rnacentral:rRNA from 1 species